rnacentral:rRNA from 1 species
AUUGAACGCUGGCGGCAUGCUUUACACAUGCAAGUCGAAUGGUAACAGGGAGCUUGCUCCGCUGACGAGUGGCGAACGGGUGAGUAAUGCGUCGGAACGUGCCGAGUAGUGGGGGAUAACGCAUCGAAAGGUGUGCUAAUACCGCAUACGUACUGAGGUAGAAAGUGGGGGACCUUCGGGCCUCACGCUAUUCGAGCGGCCGACGUCUGAUUAGCGAGUUGGUGAGGUAAAGGCUCACCAAGGCGACGAUCAGUAGCGGGUCUGAGAGGAUGAUCCGCCACACUGGGACUGAGACACGGCCCAGACUCCUACGGGAGGCAACAGUGGGGAAUUUUGGACAAUGGGCGCAAGCCUGAUCCAGCCAUGCCGCGUGUCUGAAGAAGGCCUUCGGGUUGUAAAGGACUUUUGUCCGGGAGCAAAUGCCUGGUGUUAAUAGCACUGGGAGCUGAGAGUACCGGAAGAAUAAGCACCGGCUAACUACGUGCCAGCCGCCGCGGUAAGAC